CCUACGGGUGGCAGCAGUGGGGAAUAUUGGACAAUGGGGGGAACCCUGAUCCAGCCAUGCCGCGUGUGUGAAGAAGGCCCUCGGGUUGUAAAGCACUUUCAGUGAGGAAGAACGCCUGGUGGUUAAUACCCAUCAGGAAAGACAUCACUCACAGAAGAAGCACCGGCUAACUCCGUGCCAGCAGCCGCGGUAAUACGGAGGGUGCGAGCGUUAAUCGGAAUUACUGGGCGUAAAGCGCGCGUAGGUGGCUUGAUAAGCCGGUUGUGAAAGCCCCGGGCUCAACCUGGGAACGGCAUCCGGAACUGUCAAGCUAGGGUGCAGGAGAGGAAGGUAGAAUUCCCGGUGUAGCGGUGAAAUGCGUAGAGAUCGGGAGGAAUACCAGUGGCGAAGGCGGCCUUCUGGACUGACACUGACACUGAGGUGCGAAAGCGUGGGUAGCAAACAGGAUUAGAUACCCCUGUAGUC
rnacentral:rRNA from 1 species